GUAAUGACAGGUGAGGCUGAAGAAAGAACAACAAGAAAAGGAAGACAAGAGAAGAUACAAGGCACAGGCACACCUUUUCACAAUAAUUAAGGUUGCAAGAGUUGAAGACCUUGCUGAACAAAUUGGGAAGGAUAUUUAUUUUGAUCUUGUUGAUCAUGACAAAGUUCGUAGUUUCCGAAUUCAGAAACAGACACCCUUUCAACAAUUUAAGGAAGAAGUUGCCAAAGAAUUCGGUAUUCCGGUUCAAUUUCAGCGCUUCUGGAUCUGGGCAAAACGACAAAACCAUACCUAUCGUCCCAAUCGACCCCUAACGCCUCAGGAGGAGUUACAGCCGGUUGGACAAAUAAGAGAGGCAUCAAACAAGGC